rnacentral:hammerhead_ribozyme from 11 species
CCCGCGUCUAAGGUACAGGCCUCCUUACUGACGAGUCCACUAGGAGGCCCAGGACGAAACGCCUU